GGCUCGUUGGUCUAGGGGUAUGAUUCUCGCUUAGGGUGCGAGAGGUCCCAUGUUCAAAUCCCGUACGAGCCC